AACGAACGCUGGCGGCAGGCCUAACACAUGCAAGUCGAGCGAACCGCAAGGUUAGCGGCGGACGGGUUAGUAACGCGUGGGAACGUGCCCAAAGGUACGGAAUAGCCUCGGGAAACUGAGAGUAAUACCGUAUGUGCCCGCAAGGGGAAAGAUUUAUCGCCUUUGGAUCGGCCCGCGUUGGAUUAGGUAGUUGGUGGGGUAAUGGCCUACCAAGCCGACGAUCCAUAGCUGGUUUGAGAGGAUGAUCAGCAACACUGGGACUGAGACACGGCCCAGACUCCUACGGGAGGCAGCAGUGGGGAAUCUUAGACAAUGGGGGAAACCCUGAUCUAGCCAUGCCGCGUGAGCGACGAAGGCCUUAGGGUUGUAAAGCUCUUUCACCGGGGAAGAUAAUGACGGUACCCGGGGAAGAAGCCCCGGCUAACUCCGUGCCAGCAGCCGCGGUAAAAC
rnacentral:rRNA from 1 species